ensembl:snRNA U6 U6 spliceosomal RNA
GUGCUCACUUCGGCAGCACAUAUACUAAAAUUGGAAUGAUGCAGGGAAGAUUAGCAUGGCCCCUGUGCAAGGAUGAACGCACAUUCAUCAGGUGUUCCAUGUUUUU